GCGGUAAUUCCAGCUCCAAUAGCGUAUAUGUAAAUUGUUGCGGUUGAAAAGCUCGUAGUUGGACUUCUGGCGACCGCGUUCGGUCCGCCAAGCGCGUGCACUGUCCGCGGUCGUCGUUUCUGUCGACGUGGCGCGUCGGCCUUAGUUGGUCGGUGCGUCGUCUGUCGGCGAUGUUACUUUGAGGAAAUCAGAGUGCUCAAGGCAAGCGUUCGCUCGUGACUUCACUAGCAUGGAAUAACACAGAUGGGCUCUUUCUCGCACUGUUGGUCUGCGUCAAUUGAGCAACGAUCGAUAGAGACGGUCGGGGGCAUUCGUAUUGCGCAGUUAGAGGUGAAAUUCUCCGAUCUGCGCAAGACGCACUAAUGCGAAAGCAGUUGCCAAGGACGUCCUCUUAUGAUCAAGAGCGAAAGUCGGGGGAUCAAAGAUGAUUAGAUACCGUCGUAGUCCCGACCAUAAAUGAUGCCGACUGAGCUUCGGCGACUCGACCUCAGGUCGUACGUCGGCGCUCUUAGAGAAAUUAAAGUCUUUGGGCUCCGGGGGUAGUAUGGUCGCAAGUCUGAAACUUGAAGGAAUUGACGGAAGGGCACCACAAGGCGUGGAUGUUGCGGCUUAAUUUGACUCAACACGGGAAAGCUUACUAGGUUUGGACACCUUUGUGAUGGACAGAUUGAAGCUCUUACCCUACUGCGUGGAUGGUGGUGCAUGGUCGUUCUCAGCCCGUGGGUUGACCUGUCAGGUUUACUCCGGUAACGCGCGAGACCUCGGUCUGCUAAAUAGACGCGGCUGUUCCGGCACCCGCGCUCUUCUUAGAGAGAGACUCGACGAGAGUCGAGGGAAGUCGAGGCAAUAACAGAUCUGUGAUGCCCUUAGUUAUCCUAGGUCGCACGCGCCAUACAAUGUGGCGCACAACGAGUCUCCUUGGCCGACAGGACUGGGCAAUCUGGCAGAGCGCUACGUGACUGGGCUAGACUUUUGUAAUUUUUGGUCUUGAACGAGGAAUGCCUAGUAAUCGCAGGUCAGCAUCCUGCGAUGAUUCGGUCCCUGCCCUUUGUACACACCGCCCGUCGCUCCAUCCGUGGCAUGCGCCGGUGAAGAGGGGGAGGCAGCGUCGGCCGGGUAACACCGGAUCGUACGUGGAACCCCUCUGAACCUUCGCACGUAGAGGAAGGAGAAGUCGUAACAAGGUUUUCGUAGGUGAACCUGCGAAAGGAUCAUUA
rnacentral:rRNA from 1 species